AGCGUACACGGUGGAUGCCCUGGCAGUCAGAGGCGAUGAAGGACGUGCUAAUCUGCGAUAAGCGUCGGUGAGGUGAUAUGAACCGUUAUAACCGGCGAUUUCCGAAUGGGGAAACCCAGUGUGUUUCGACACACUAUCAUUAACUGAAUCCAUAGGUUAAUGAGGCGAACCGGGGGAACUGAAACAUCUAAGUACCCCGAGGAAAAGAAAUCAACCGAGAUUCCCCCAGUAGCGGCGAGCGAACGGGGAGGAGCCCAGAGCCUGAAUCAGUGUGUGUGUUAGUGGAAGCGUCUGGAAAGUCGCGCGAUACAGGGUGACAGCCCCGUACACAAAAAUGCACAUACUGUGAGCUCGAUGAGUAGGGCGGGACACGUGGUAUCCUGUCUGAAUAUGGGGGGACCAUCCUCCAAGGCUAAAUACUCCUGACUGACCGAUAGUGAACCAGUACCGUGAGGGAAAGGCGAAAAGAACCCCGGCGAGGGGAGUGAAAAAGAACCUGAAACCGUGUACGUACAAGCAGUGGGAGCCUCUUAAUGGGGUGACUGCGUACCUUUUGUAUAAUGGGUCAGCGACUUAUAUUCUGUAGCAAGGUUAACCGAAUAGGGGAGCCGAAGGGAAACCGAGUCUUAACUGGGCGUUAAGUUGCAGGGUAUAGACCCGAAACCCGGUGAUCUAGCCAUGGGCAGGUUGAAGGUUGGGUAACACUAACUGGAGGACCGAACCGACUAAUGUUGAAAAAUUAGCGGAUGACUUGUGGCUGGGGGUGAAAGGCCAAUCAAACCGGGAGAUAGCUGGUUCUCCCCGAAAGCUAUUUAGGUAGCGCCUCGUGAAUUCAUCUCCGGGGGUAGAGCACUGUUUCGGCAAGGGGGUCAUCCCGACUUACCAACCCGAUGCAAACUGCGAAUACCGGAGAAUGUUAUCACGGGAGACACACGGCGGGUGCUAACGUCCGUCGUGAAGAGGGAAACAACCCAGACCGCCAGCUAAGGUCCCAAAGUCAUGGUUAAGUGGGAAACGAUGUGGGAAGGCCCAGACAGCCAGGAUGUUGGCUUAGAAGCAGCCAUCAUUUAAAGAAAGCGUAAUAGCUCACUGGUCGAGUCGGCCUGCGCGGAAGAUGUAACGGGGCUAAACCAUGCACCGAAGCUGCGGCAGCGACACUAUGUGUUGUUGGGUAGGGGAGCGUUCUGUAAGCCUGUGAAGGUGUACUGUGAGGUAUGCUGGAGGUAUCAGAAGUGCGAAUGCUGACAUAAGUAACGAUAAAGCGGGUGAAAAGCCCGCUCGCCGGAAGACCAAGGGUUCCUGUCCAACGUUAAUCGGGGCAGGGUGAGUCGACCCCUAAGGCGAGGCCGAAAGGCGUAGUCGAUGGGAAACAGGUUAAUAUUCCUGUACUUGGUGUUACUGCGAAGGGGGGACGGAGAAGGCUAUGUUGGCCGGGCGACGGUUGUCCCGGUUUAAGCGUGUAGGCUGGUUUUCCAGGCAAAUCCGGAAAAUCAAGGCUGAGGCGUGAUGACGAGGCACUACGGUGCUGAAGCGACAAAUGCCCUGCUUCCAGGAAAAGCCUCUAAGCAUCAGGUAACAUUAAAUCGUACCCCAAACCGACACAGGUGGUCAGGUAGAGAAUACCAAGGCGCUUGAGAGAACUCGGGUGAAGGAACUAGGCAAAAUGGUGCCGUAACUUCGGGAGAAGGCACGCUGAUAUGUAGGUGAAGCGACUUGCUCGUGGAGCUGAAAUCAGUCGAAGAUACCAGCUGGCUGCAACUGUUUAUUAAAAACACAGCACUGUGCAAACACGAAAGUGGACGUAUACGGUGUGACGCCUGCCCGGUGCCGGAAGGUUAAUUGAUGGGGUUAGCGGUAACGCGAAGCUCUUGAUCGAAGCCCCGGUAAACGGCGGCCGUAACUAUAACGGUCCUAAGGUAGCGAAAUUCCUUGUCGGGUAAGUUCCGACCUGCACGAAUGGCGUAAUGAUGGCCAGGCUGUCUCCACCCGAGACUCAGUGAAAUUGAACUCGCUGUGAAGAUGCAGUGUACCCGCGGCAAGACGGAAAGACCCCGUGAACCUUUACUAUAGCUUGACACUGAACAUUGAGCCUUGAUGUGUAGGAUAGGUGGGAGGCUUUGAAGUGUGGACGCCAGUCUGCAUGGAGCCGACCUUGAAAUACCACCCUUUAAUGUUUGAUGUUCUAACGUGGGCCCCUUACCGGGGUUGCGGACAGUGUCUGGUGGGUAGUUUGACUGGGGCGGUCUCCUCCUAAAGAGUAACGGAGGAGCACGAAGGUUGGCUAAUCCUGGUCGGACAUCAGGAGGUUAGUGCAAUGGCAUAAGCCAGCUUGACUGCGAGCGUGACGGCGCGAGCAGGUGCGAAAGCAGGUCAUAGUGAUCCGGUGGUUCUGAAUGGAAGGGCCAUCGCUCAACGGAUAAAAGGUACUCCGGGGAUAACAGGCUGAUACCGCCCAAGAGUUCAUAUCGACGGCGGUGUUUGGCACCUCGAUGUCGGCUCAUCACAUCCUGGGGCUGAAGUAGGUCCCAAGGGUAUGGCUGUUCGCCAUUUAAAGUGGUACGCGAGCUGGGUUUAGAACGUCGUGAGACAGUUCGGUCCCUAUCUGCCGUGGGCGCUGGAUACUUGAGGGGGGCUGCUCCUAGUACGAGAGGACCGGAGUGGACGCAUCACUGGUGUUCGGGUUGUCAUGCCAAUGGCACUGCCCGGUAGCUAA
rnacentral:rRNA from 1 species